GGGACCCUGGCUGAGCGGUAGAGCAUCUGCUUGGCAUGCAGAAGGUCGCAGGUUCAAUCCCUGCCAUUUCCU
rnacentral:tRNA from 1 species